ensembl:lncRNA
ACUCCCAGCGGAAAAGAUCUGGUGGUCAAGUCAGCAGACCGAACCCGCGACCCCCAGCGACCUACUGGCUGCGUCUUUGUCCAGCGACCACACGGAGCUGGCAGAGACUGUCGGAGGCACACUGAGGAUGAGCCGUGGCUCAGGAUGUGUCCGGGAGCUGUCUUGCAUUUUUUUCUUGCUGUGCAUCUCGAAUUUUCUUUAGGGGAUAGGAACUGUGCUCCCCAGCGCCACAAAAAGAACUGCAGGAGAAGACGACUUUUGAAAAAAGAUUGUCUGAGUUGUUCUGUGUGUUGUUGCCCUCAUGACAUCCCUGUCUGUAACCAUUUAUCACUGAGACAUUCUCUCAUCAGCAGACAAAGGAUAUAUUCCCUACUUGAUAUGUAGGACUUCGGCUGCUUAGCCCUCAUGAAUGUUAAUGGGAAUACAACCUUCUUUCUGUCUAUAGGUUAUUUUUCUUAUUUUAAUGUCAAUAGACAGCGGAAUUAAUGUGAGUCAAAGUGAUAGAUUUCAAGCACCUCUAUAGGACCAAUACCUGUAUCCUUCAUAUAAACAACUUUCUCAAAGAUAUCUGCAUGCUCUUGAAUCGUUAUUUGUAUUUAACAAGGAUGCAAAUAUUAAGCUUUUUAUAAAAAUGCAAGAAUAGGGUUAUAUUUUAUUAUUAGAAUAUACAAAAGAAGCGGUGAGCGUGAAUUUUGGCGAAGUUCCAGAAAGCUGGCCAGUAGGAACAAGCAUUUUGUCUUUAAGAAAAAGGAUGUCCCCAGUGCUCAGCAGAGCCAAAAGGAUUUUUAGUGCUUCAAAAUCUCAUCUGACACAGUUUCUGUUAAAAGGCUAUAGAUGAAAUAAUAUGUAAUUUCUAGGAAUAUGUUUUAGUGACUAACGUUUAGUUUUUGUAAGUUGCCCCAGAAUAGAAGUUGUACUGAAGUGAGAGUGUAAAUUGAUGCAUCCUGUUAGGCAGUAUGUAUCAAAAUUAGAAAUGCAAUUGACUGAACUAUUACAUUGCUAAGUAAUUACCUUAGAUUUACUUACAGAUACACAUAUGUAAGAUUUAACAGAUAUGUUCAGGAAUGUUUGCACAGCAAUAGCAAAAAUCUAAAAACAUUCUAAAUGUUUAUCAGUAGUUGACUGAUACUUCUGGUACAUUAAAACAAUAUAAUGU